UACGGUUAAAGUAGUAAGGGCGCAGGGUGGAUGCCUUGGCACUAAGAGCCGAUGAAAGACGUGAUAAGCUGCGAAAAGCUUCGGGGAGGAGCACAUAUCCAAUGAUCCGGAGAUAUCUGAAUGGGGAAACCCGGCAGAGGAAACCUCUGUCAGCGUGCAGUGAAUACAUAGCUGUACGUGGGGAACCCGGGGAACUGAAACAUCUAAGUACCCGGAGGAAGAGAAAGAAAAUUUAUCGAUUUCCAAAGUAGCGGCGAGCGAAAUGGAAAGAGCCCAAACCGUGAUGCGUGCAUCGCGGGGUUCGGACUGCGUUGUGGCAGACGUAAGAUAGGAGAACGGACUGGGAAGUCCGGCCGGAGAGAGUGAAAGCCUCGUAUCCGAAAUCCCAAGUCGCCUGGCAGGAUCCAGAGUAGGACGAGACACGAGAAACCUUGUCUGAACGAGCGGGGACCACCCCGUAAGGCUAAAUACUUCUUAGUGACCGAUAGCGCAUAGUACUGUGAAGGAAAGGUGAAAAGUACCCCGGGAGGGGAGUGAAAGAGAACCUGAAACCCUGUGUCUACAAGCUGUGGGACCUCUUUAUAUGAGGGACUGCGUACUUUUUGUAGAACGGUCCGGCGAGUUGUGCGUACUGGCGAGGUUAAGGACUUAAGGUCUGGAGCCGAAGUGAAAGCAAGCGUUAAUAGCGCGUCAAGUCAGUGAGUGCAGACCCGAAACCGGGUGACCUAUCCAUGUCCAGGUUGAAGCUUCCGUAAGAGGAAGUGGAGGACCGAACCCACAUCCGUUGAAAAGGGUGGGGAUGAGGUGUGGAUAGCGGAGAAAUUCCAAUCGAACCCGGAGAUAGCUGGUUCUCCUCGAAAUAGCUUUAGGGCUAGCCUCAUGAGAGUCUUAUGGAGGUAGAGCACUGAAUUGCCUAGGGGGCGUCAAAGCUUACCAAAGCAUAUCAAACUCCGAAUGCCAUCAAGAUGAUUCAUGGGAGUCAGACCAUACGAGAUAAGUUGGAUGGUCAAAAGGGAAAGAGCCCAGACCUACAGCUAAGGUCCCAAAGUACGUGUUAAGUGGAAAAGGAUGUGGGGAUUCUAAGACAACUAGGACGUUGGCUUAGAAGCAGCCAUUCAUUGAAAGAGUGCGUAAUAGCUCACUAGUCGAGAGUCCCUGCGCCGAAAAUGUCCGGGGCUGAAACACGACACCGAAGCUUAGGAAUGUGUAAACAUUGGUAGAGGAGCAUUGCUGGCGGGAUGAAGCCAUACCGUAAGGAGUGGUGGACUGCCAGGAAGAGAGAAUGCCGGAAUGAGUAGCGAGAUGAAGGUGAGAAUCCUUCAGGCCGAAUAUCUAAGGUUUCCAGAGUAAAGCUGAUCUGCUCUGGGUAAGUCGGGACCUAAGGCGAGGUCGAAAGACGUAGUCGAUGGAUAACAGGUUGAAAUUCCUGUACCGCAUAUAAACAGAACUGUGGGGACACAGACAGGGAAUGGAAUCCGGGAAUGGAUAUCCCGGUGCAAGCGAGGUAGGAGUGCUGUUGGCAAAUCCGCAGCACGAUCUGAAGACGUGACGCGUACCGAACAUAAGUAGGGAAGUCCAGGCCCCUGGCUGUCAAGAAAAGCCGCUAUUGUUUUAUAUGUGCCCGUACCGCAAACCGACACAGGUGGAUGAGGAGAGAAUCCUAAGGCCGACGGGAGAAGUAUUGUUAAGGAACUCGGCAAAAUGACUCCGUAACUUCGGGAGAAGGAGUGCCAUGAGAGUGGCCGCAGAGAAAUGGCCCAAGCAACUGUUUAGCAAAAACACAGGUCUAUGCAAAACCGCAAGGUGAAGUAUAUGGGCUGACGCCUGCCCGGUGCUGGAAGGUUAAGGGGAGAGGUUAGCGCAAGCGAAGCUUUGAACUUAAGCCCCAGUAAACGGCGGCCGUAACUAUAACGGUCCUAAGGUAGCGAAAUUCCUUGUCGGGUAAGUUCCGACCCGCACGAAAGGCGUAAUGAUUUGGGCACUGUCUCAACGAUACACCCGGUGAAAUUGAAAUACCAGUGAAGAUGCUGGUUACCUGCGCCAGGACGGAAAGACCCCAUGGAGCUUUACUCCAGUUUGAUACUGGGAUUCGGCAUGGUAUGUACAGGAUAGGUGGGAGACUGAGAAGGUAUGACGUCAGUUGUACCGGAGUCGCUGUUGGGAUACCACCCUUACCAUGUUGGAUUUCUAACCUGUGGCCGU
rnacentral:rRNA from 1 species